ACCGGCAGGUCGCCUUUUUACAGG
rnacentral:siRNA from 1 species